rnacentral:rRNA from 1 species
AACAGGAUUAGAUACCCUGGUAGUCCACGCCGUAAACGAUGUCGACUUGGAGGUUGUGCCCUUGAGGCGUGGCUUCCGGAGCUAACGCGUUAAGUCGACCGCCUGGGGAGUACGGCCGCAAGGUUAAAACUCAAAUGAAUUGACGGGGGCCCGCACAAGCGGUGGAGCAUGUGGUUUAAUUCGAUGCAACGCGAAGAACCUUACCUACUCUUGACAUCCAGAGAACUUAGCAGAGAUGCUUUGGUGCCUUCGGGAACUCUGAGACAGGUGCUGCAUGGCUGUCGUCAGCUCGUGUUGUGAAAUGUUGGGUUAAGUCCCGCAACGAGCGCAACCCUUAUCCUUUGUUGCCAGCGGUUCGGCCGGGAACUCAAAGGAGACUGCCAGUGAUAAACUGGAGGAAGGUGGGGAUGACGUCAAGUCAUCAUGGCCCUUACGAGUAGGGCUACACACGUGCUACAAUGGCGCAUACAAAGAGAAGCGACCUCGCGAGAGCAAGCGGACCUCAUAAAGUGCGUCGUAGUCCGGAUCGGAGUCUGCAACUCGACUCCGUGAAGUCGGAAUCGCUAGUAAUCGUAGAUCAGAAUGCUACGGUGAAUACGUUCCCGGGCCUUGUACACACCGCCCGUCACACCAUGGGAGUGGGUUGCAAAAGAAGUAGAUAGCUUAACCUUCGGGAGGGCGUUUACCACUUUGUGAUUCAUGACUGGGGUGAAGUCGUAACAAGGUAACC